rnacentral:rRNA from 1 species
UACAGAGGUCUCAAGCGUUGUUCGGAUUCACUGGGCUUAAAGGGCGCGUAGGCGGGUCAGCAAGUCCGGGGUGAAAGCUUUCGGCUCAACCGGAAAAGGGCCUUGGAUACUGCUGGUCUGGAGGAAGGUAGGGGCGUGUGGAACUUCCGGUGGAGCGGUGAAAUGCGUAGAUAUCGGAAGGAACGCCGGUGGCGAAAGCGACACGCUGGACCUUUUCUGACGCUGAGGCGCGAAAGCCAGGGGAGCAAACGGG